GGGGAGCAAGUCAUAAGGAGACAUGGAACCAAAUGGAGGGGCACGCCUAGGGUAUGACAAAGGAAAGACCUAUGGCGGGUGAGGAAGGAAAGCGACCUCUUGUGUGCUUUUUACAGGGAGUGGUGCCGGAAGCCUUGGGGGUUGUAGGUGGAGGCAAGUCGGUUUGAUGUACAAAUUGCAAUCUAAAUCAUACCGGUAAUAAAAGACUAUCAUAACCAUUUCGGGCAUGUGUGCAAUGCAAGAUUAUUCGCGCGAAAUCCACAUGAAACAAUUAGAUUAUCUCAGGAAUUCCAAUUAAGCGGGCAGUACCUCAAAUAAGACAGCAUUGUAGAAGAUGUAUAACUUGAGAAGGAAAUAAAAUGAAUGGGAUCAUGCAAAGAACCAUCGCCUGCGCGCC
rnacentral:lncRNA from 1 species